rnacentral:rRNA from 1 species
GAUGAACGCUAGCGGCAGGCCUAAUACAUGCAAGUCGAACGGCAAGAUUUGGUAGCAAUACUGAAUCCUAGAGUGGCGCACGGGUGAGUAACGCGUACAUGACAUACCUAUAAGCGAGGGAUAGCAUUGGGAAACUGGUAGUAACCCCUCAUGUGAUUAUUUGUAAUAAAGGUAAAUAAUUAAAACUACGGUGCUUAUAGAUUGGUGUGCGUCUGAUUAGCUAGUUGGCGAGGUAACGGCUCACCAAGGCGACGAUCAGUAGGGGGCGUGAGAGCGUGAACCCCCACACGGGUACUGAGACACGGACCCGACUCCUACGGGAGGCAGCAGUAAGGAAUAUUGGUCAAUGGAGGGAACUCUGAACCAGCCAUGCCGCGUGCAGGAUGAAAGCCCUCUGGGUUGUAAACUGCUUUUUAACAGGGAAGAAAAUGCUAUACGCGAUAUAGUACUGACGGUACCUGAGGAAUAAGCACCGGCUAACUCCGUGCCAGCAGCCGCGG